UGUGGGAGCGGGCUUGCUCGCGAAAGCGGCGUGUCAGUCACUUAAUGUGUUUCUGAUACACCGUAUUCGCGAGCAAGCCCGCUCCCACA
rnacentral:misc_RNA from 1 species